AUGUUUCAAGCACCAAGACCUGUGUCAGCACUGUGGGAAAUCAAGGGCAUACAUUUCUUAAAUCACAGCAGAAUAAAAUCACAGGACAAAACACUGAGGAUCCCUUUGGAAGGUGAAAUAUUAGGUAUUGCAAUACCUGACUUCCCUUCUAGAACAGACCAUUCUGUAGCUCCAGGCCAGAAGUGCAACAUGUGCCUAUUAAUUUCCAGGAGAGGUGCUCAGGGGACACAAACACGCUGUGCUCAGGACUUUUGCUCACAUAGGACCAGGGGUGGCAGCUUGCUGGAUCCUCACAGCCUGGGCAGAGCAAGAGGAAGGCCCUUACCUGGAGGGAAGAAAGCCCCAUUACAGGUGGGAAAUUGUGGUUUAAAAGAAGGAGUUCAUUCCAGAGGUUUUGCAUUUUAAAAAAACCUUGACCCCCCCUGUGUUGGUGGAAAAGCUGCCUGGCUUUGUGAGGUUAUCACUUAAAUGGUUCCAAAACCAGCUUUGAGAAAACAAACUUCUCAUUUGAGGUUAAUGAGAAACAGAGUGGGCCAGUUCAUGCUGUACCUUUGCUGUUACCAUUGUUUCAAGGCAGCUGCAUGCUGGCUGGUACAGCAUUCUUCUUAAGAAAACUUUCUGAUAUAAAGACACAACUAUAUGUAAAACAAGCUUAAAUUUCUGCAGAAUUUUUCAGAAUUUAAAAAAAUUCUGAAGAG
rnacentral:lncRNA from 1 species